rnacentral:rRNA from 1 species
GACGAACGUUGGCGGUGCGCUUAAUGCAUGCAAGUCGAGGGAGAACCAUUCGAUCCGUAAGGACCGGAUGGGGAAACCGGCGAACGGGUGCGUAACACGUGAGGAACCUGCCCCGAAGACCGGGAUAGCCCGAGGAAACUCGGAUUAAUACCGGAUACCCUCUUUGGACCACAUGGUCUGCUGAGGAAAUGGUCCGCCGCUUCGGGAUGGCCUCGCGGCCUAUCAGCUUGUUGGUGAGGUAACGGCUCACCAAGGCCAAGACGGGUAGCUGGUCUGAGAGGACGAUCAGCCACACUGGGACUGAGACACGGCCCAGACUCCUACGGGAGGCAGCAGCAGGGAAUAUUGCACAAUGGGCGAAAGCCUGAUGCAGCGACACCGCGUGCGGGAUGAAGGCCCUCGGGUUGUAAACCGCUUUCAGGAGGGACGAAACUGACGCUACCUCCAGAAGAAGGCCCGGCCAACUACGUGCCAGCAGCCGCGGUAAUACGUAGGGGCCAAACGUUGUCCGGAUUUAUUGGGCGUAAAGGGCUCGUAGGCGGUUCAAAAAGUCGAUCGUGAAAGCCCGGGGCUCAACCCCGGGACGCCGGUCGAAACUGUUGUGACUAGGGU